CAUGUUCUCUCGCAGCUCUGGA
rnacentral:miRNA from 1 species